rnacentral:rRNA from 1 species
CGUGGCUAACCUACCCUUGAGACGGAGACAACCCCGGGAAANCUGGGGCUAAUCCCAGAUAGAUGAGAACUCCUGGAACGGGUUUUCGUCCAAAAGGCAUCAAGGUCAUGCUUCUUGGUGUUGCUCAAGGAUGGGGCCGCGACCGAUCAGGCUGUUGGUGAGGUAACGGCUCACCAAACCUAUAACCGGUACGGGCCGUGGGAGCGGGAGCCCGGAGAUGGGAACUUAGACAAGGUCCCAGGCCCUACGGGGCGCAGCCGUUGCGAAAACUUGUCAAUGCACGAAAGUGUGAACAGGCUACCCCGAGUGCUGUCCGCUGAGGAUGGCUUUUCUCCGCUGUUAAAAGGCGGGGGAAUAAGGAGAGGGCAAGUCUGGUGUCAGCCGCCGCGGUAAUACCAGCUCUCCGAGUGGUGGGGACGAUUAUUGGGCUUAAAGCGUCCGUAGCCUGCCUUUCAAGUCUCUCGUUAAAUCCGGCGAUUCAAUCGUUGGACUGCGGGAGAUACUGUUAGGCUAGGGGGCGGGAGAAGCCGACGGUAUUCCCGGGGUAGGGGUAAAAUCCUAUAAUCCCCGGGAGGACCACCAGUGGCGANNGCGGUCGGCUAGCACGCGCUCGACGGUGAGGAACGAAAGCUGGGGNANCAANCCGGAUUANAUNNCCGGAU